UACGUAGGUGGCACGCGUUGUCCGGAUUUAUUGGGUUUAAAGGGUGCGUAGGCGGCUUUGUAAGUCAGUGGUGAAAUAUGGCAGCUCAACUGUCAGGGUGCCAUUGAUACUGCGGAGCUUGAGUACAGAUGAGGUAGGCGGAAUUGACGGUGUAGCGGUGAAAUGCUUAGAUAUCGUCAAGAACACCGAUAGCGAAGGCAGCUUACUGGGCUGUAACUGACGCUGAGGCACGAAAGUGUGGGGAUCAAACAGG
rnacentral:rRNA from 1 species